rnacentral:rRNA from 1 species
AGUGAACGCUGGCGGUAGGCCUAACACAUGCAAGUCGAACGGCAGCACAGUAAGAGCUUGCUCUUACGGGUGGCGAGUGGCGGACGGGUGAGGAAUACAUCGGAAUCUACUUUUUCGUGGGGGAUAACGUAGGGAAACUUACGCUAAUACCGCAUACGACCUACGGGUGAAAGCAGGGGAUCUUCGGACCUUGCGCGAUUGAAUGAGCCGAUGUCGGAUUAGCUAGUUGGCGGGGUAAAGGCCCACCAAGGCGACGAUCCGUAGCUGGUCUGAGAGGAUGAUCAGCCACACUGGAACUGAGGCACGGUCCCGGCUCCUACGGGAGGCAGCAGUGGGGAAUAUUGGACAAUGGGCGGAAGCCUGAUCCAGCCAUACCGCGUGGGUUGAGGAAGCCUUCGGGGUGGAAAGCCCUUUUGUUGGGAAAGAAAAGCAGCAGGUUAAUACCCCGCUGUUCUGACGGUACCCAAAAAAUAAGCACCGGCUAACUUCGUG